ensembl:lncRNA
CAAGUGCAGAGACAUGGAGAAAUUACAGCUGUGGAAUUUGCACGAAUCACAUGAAACCAGCAUGAGAGUCAGCACCUCCAAGUCUGAGGUGCCUCUGUGUGGGAUGAGUAUUUUAGGAUCUUGCCUGUGUAGAUUCUCAGUAAUCCAGGCCAUGGUAAUCCCAGGAGCUUUCGUAGAAAGCAACUGGACUCCUCUUCAGUUUCUUCAAAGAACCUAAAAGAGCAUCCUUCCAGGAUCUUCAAGUUCCACAACCAGGCAGGCUUUGAGAAAAUUGCCCAGAAAAUUCAUUACUAUGGACUUCUCUCUUAGGUUCUUGAAAGAACCUAAAACCUACUGAAGCUCCUAGGAUUUGGGGAUGUUGUUCAAGAAAAUGGAGCGUGAAAUAGACAGACAGAUUGGUGAAGCAUCAGCAGUGAUGCAGCCGUUGUGCCAGGCUGUGGUGAAGAUGGAGCUGAACCGGGAGGCACAGCUCUCCAUUUACCCGUCGGUCGGUGUUCCUCUUCUUUCAAAACCUGAACAGCAAAUUAGCACGUUAGCAGUACUUUUCUAUUUAUGCCUCAGACAAACUAGAGCAGGGGUAGCCAACACGGUGCCCGCAGGCGCCUGGUUGCCUGCAGAGACCACGUGAGUGACACAUGUUCUAAAAAUAACACUAGUCACCAUGAAAUUCUUUAUAAAAAAAUAUAGUUGCUGUUCUUUUUGAAUCGAAAAUACUUAUAUUAAUGCAGAUUUUAAAUUACAAUAUUUAUUAUAUAUUUUUUUAAAAACAAAAAUGUCUUUGGUGUAAAUGAACUUUCACCUUGUCCGAGUCAGAGUUCACUGCGCAUGUCAAACCACCACGUCACUCUGCUGAAGCUUCCGGACGCAGCCACUUUGGGAAGCUAGAUGUGGUUUUUACCCCCAAAACAUGACAGAGAAGUGAAAGAGAAAACACUAUUUUCACGAUGACUGGGAGGAAGAGUUAUUUUUCACGACAGUGAAAGACAAAUGUAUGUGUCCUAUUUGCGGGGCGACUAUUGCGUCCGCCAAGCGGCACAAUGUGGAGAGACGCUACUUUAGCCACCACAAAGCUUCCAUGCUAACUAGCCAUGCUAACUAGCCACCUGGUAGCGCACAUAGACUGUUUGCGCACUAUGGACAGGAAAAUCCCGUUACUUAAAGGCAGCUUUGACAUCUACUACGCGGCGAAAAGUUUCUUCGUGGAGAAAAAUGUACCAUCAGAAAGGCUUGUUUUACUGACGACAGACGGGGCUCCUCCAUGACGGGUCGGCAUGCAGGCUUCAUUGUACUAUGCAGAGGUGAUCCAGACUUCCCAACAUCCCUACAUUACCACUGCAGCAUUCACCAGCAGGACAUAUGUAUGUACAAAAAUGACUGGAUUUGAUCAUGUGAUGACUCCUGUCGUGAAGAUCAUAAAUGGCUCCAAAGCCAAACAACCAGGACAUUGAAGGUGCUGCUGGAGGAGCUGUUAGCUGAACAUGGUGACCUGUUAUUACACACAGAAACCCCAUGGAUCAGCAGGGGACCAGUUUUGCAGCGUUUUUUGUCACUGUUGGCCGAAAUCAAAGAGUUGAUGCAAUCCAAAGGGGAAGACACCUCGCUGUUUGAGGACACUGAGUGGAUUCUUGUCCUUGCAUUUUUAACGGACAUCACUGAGAAACUGAACCAUCUGAACUGUGAGCUGCAAAGUAAAGAUGUUCAGAGGGAGAUGAUGUCACAUCUGGUCCAGCUGAUGGAAGGUCUUGAAGUUCUCUGCAUGGCCUCGACUGAAGAUGGUCGUCUCACUGGAUUUAAGACCUGACCAUGAACACCGUUGACACCCACCUCAGGGAGACGCUGCCUAAGAUCUCAAGGCUGCUUGGUCGUGGUCUUU